rnacentral:rRNA from 1 species
AACGAACGCUGGCGGCAGGCCUAACACAUGCAAGUCGAGCGCUCUCUUCGGAGGGAGCGGCGGACGGGUGAGUAACGCGUGGGAAUAUACCCUUCUCUACGGAAUAGCCUCGGGAAACUGAGAGUAAUACCGUAUACGCCCUUCGGGGGAAAGAUUUAUCGGAGAAGGAUUAGCCCGCGUUAGAUUAGAUAGUUGGUGGGGUAAUGGCCUACCAAGUCUACGAUCUAUAGCUGGUUUUAGAGGACGAUCAGCCACACUGGGACUGAGACACGGCCCAGACUCCUACGGGAGGCAGCAGUGGGGAAUCUUAGACAAUGGGCGCAAGCCUGAUCUAGCCAUGCCGCGUGAGUGAUGAAGGCCUUAGGGUCGUAAAGCUCUUUCGCCAGGGAUGAUAAUGACAGUACCUGGUAAAGAAACCCCGGCUAACUCCGUGCCAGCAGCCGCGGUAAUACGGAGGGGGUUAGCGUUGUUCGGAAUUACUGGGCGU